UUGAGCGGAAUGCGGUGAAAGACGCACGCACUGUUCUUAGGAACGCGCAGUCUGGCAAUAGCCUGCGCUUAUCCGAC
rnacentral:ncRNA from 1 species